CCUACGGGAGGCAGCAGUGGGGAAUCUCGCGCAAUGGGCGAAAGCCUGACGCAGCCAUGCCGCGUGAAUGAUGAAGGUCUUAGGAUUGUAAAAUUCUUUCACCGGGGACGAUAAUGACGGUACCCGGAGAAGAAGCCCCGGCUAACUUCGUGCCAGCAGCCGCGGUAAUACGAAGGGGGCUAGCGUUGCUCGGAAUUACUGGGCGUAAAGGGAGCGUAGGCGGACUGUUUAGUCAGAGGUGAAANCCCAGGGCUCAACCUNGGAAUUGCCUUUGAUACUGGCAGUCUUGAGUACGGAAGAGGUAUGUGGAACUCCGAGUGUAGAGGUGAAAUUCGUAGAUAUUCGGAAGAACACCAGUGGCGAAGGCGACAUACUGGUCCGUUACUGACGCUGAGGCUCGAAAGCGUGGGGAGCAAACAGGAUUAGAUACCCUGGUAGUCCACGCCGUAAACGAUGAGUGCUAGUUGUCG
rnacentral:rRNA from 1 species